ensembl:lncRNA
UUUACUUCCAGGAUGGCUGGGUGGUCAGAGAUCUUCACUGAACUGACAGGUACCCCUCUGUUCUUUCCUAUUGUGCCCUGAAGUCAGACAUGCAUAUAGUGAUUUCAGUGCAUCACAUCCUUCAGUUCAUUGUGGGCCUGAAAACCUAACACAAAAGGCCAGGAAAAGGAAGGAGCAAUGCCAGUUAUUCCCCAGUGCCAGAACAACUUUGCCUAGGAAAUGAGUGAGGUGAAAACUCUCUGAUGAAGCUGCACUUCCUUCAUCCCUGUGCCAUGAAACUCAGGGAGUGCUGGUGACUGCCCUUUUUGCGUUAUAUAAUGAAAACGUAAGUAUUGCUGUUGUUGUCUGCAACAAAAACGUUUAUGAAGUUUUGCUAUAGCACAUUUCUAUUUUUGCUUUCAAUGUUGGUUUUUUUUCUGUGAAAGCUUCUUGAUUGAACCUUCUUCUCUAAUAAUUUUUUACACAUGAAUUACAGAUCAUUCUAAUUAGCUUUUUAAUUACAGCUAGAGAAAGCUAUUUAGAACACUCCUGACUGUUAGAAACGAGUCCAUGUGGAGAAAAAUAAGAGGUAAUUAGCUUUAAAUGAAAAAUAGCUACUGUCAUUUCCCAGACAAAGGAGAGGGAGACAAUUUCUACGCUUCAUAGCAAAUACAGAAUUGGAUUGGAAAGGACUGUUCAGAGUCCAUGCCUUGAAAUCAUCUGAAAUUUAACUAGUUUUACACCAGGUAUUUACUAUGAUGAUUUUGAAGGCAUUGGUAUUCUAACUGUCUAAAUUCUUAGCAAGUCCAUUGCAACAUCUGGAUAAAGAGCAUCCCAGCUGUGUUAAAUGGAGAUGCUUUUUGUAAGAGUUGGGGACACUGCACUGUGCUAUAACCCAUGGAAUAGUAACAAAUUUUAGGAAUCUUCAAGUCAUCUCAGACCAAGAGCUCUUGCUAUGAAUUUGGUUCUUCUUGCAGAUUGU